rnacentral:misc_RNA from 1 species
UGAAAUGAGGAAGCAAAGGCAUAGUAUAUAUGUUCAUCCGUUUUUGCAAGACACAUUAAAGAAGAAUACUUGAGAAAAAUUAGCAGGCAACGUCACAAGCGAUGACAGAUACUCCAAAAGAGGAAAAUUUCACACGUGGGUUCAUGGAUCACAGAAUUUUUUGAUGCUAUUGACAUGGGAAUACAUAACAAGUAGCUGAAUGCUCCAUGCACGAAGCACAAUGUUCUUCCACUAAAUUUAUAAAAUUCGAAAUACCCAACACAAAACACUAUAUUUUCAAACACCCAUUCACAUGAAGAAACCAAGUUACUAAGCUCCCAUAUUGAGUAUGUAUCAAAGCCUUCGAAACACCAAGGAAAACAACAAAAAAUGGCAAGUCUAAGCACCAAAAAGGAACAUGACCAACCCAUGAAUAUUCUUCCUUAAAAUCAAACAUUG